UUCCGGUUGAUCCUGCCGGACCCUACUGCUAUCGGGGUGGGACUAAAACAGGCGAGUCGUUCUAGCCAGUCGUGGCAUACGGCUCAGUAACACGUGGCUAACCUACCCUUGAGACGGAGACAACCCCGGGAAACUGGGGCUAAUCCCAGAUAGAUGAGAACUCCUGGAACGGGUUCUCGUCCAAAUGCUUCGUCGCUCAAGGAUGGGGCCGCGUCCGAUCAGGCUGUUGGUGAGGCAACGGCUCACCAAACCUAUAACCGGUACGGGCCGUGGGAGCGGGAGCCCGGAGAUGGGAACUGAGACAAGGUCCCAGGCCCUACGGGGCGCAGCAGUUACGAAAACUUGUCAAUGCACGAAAGUGUGAACGGGCUACCCCGAGUGCCGUCCGCUGAGGAUGGCUUUUCUCUGCUGUAAGAAGGCGGAGGAAUAAGGAGAGGGCAAGUCUGGUGUCAGCCGCCGCGGUAAUACCAGCUCUCCGAGUGGUGGGGAUGUUUAUUGGGCCUAAAGCGUCCGUAGCCUGCCCUUCAAGUCUUUCGUUAAAUCCAGCGAUUCAAUCGUUGGACUGCGGGAGAUACUGUUGGGCUAGGGGGCGGGAGAAGCCGACGGUAUUUCCGGGGUAGGGGUAAAAUCCUAUAAUCCCGGGAGGACCACCAGUGGCGUAGGCGGUCGGCUAGCACGUGCUCGACGGUGAGGGACGAAAGCUGGGGGAGCAAACCGGAUUAGAUACCCGGAUAGUCCCAGCUGUAAACGAUGCGGGCUAGGUGUUGGGGUGGCCACGAGCCACUUCAGUGCCGCAGGGAAGCCAUUAAGCCCGCCGCCUGGGGAGUACGGCCGCAAGGCUGAAACUUAAAGGAAUUGGCGGGGGAGCACCACAAGGGGUGAAGCUUGCGGUUCAAUUGGAUUCAACGCCGGA
rnacentral:rRNA from 1 species